AUGAAUUUACACACUGGUUUGUAAAAAUUGAGGUAGGAAAGGCAGCAAGGAUGUUGCCAAGGGGAAGGAGAAAGGCUUUUUACUGUGUACUUCAUUUUAGGAGUGUUAGAGGUAGGUGACUGCAGUGCCGGAGGGCAUGGAUGAAACUCUGGAGGGAAGAGGCAUGCUAGGUCACGCCCCAAGCAUCUGCAGGAAAGCGCUUCUCCAGUGAAGAGCUGACAGGAUGUGAGUCAUCAAAUGUUCCAGAGUGCGAAGACCGCACGCACAAUCCAGAAAACAACCUGACCUGUAUGAGCCGUAGAGAUAACUGCAUCGAUUCCACUCCAUCCCCACAAAAAUUGCCACAAGAACACCGGAUCAGAAAACAAACCAUUCUCCAACACCUAAAAAGCAGACGUUUUUCACCCUGAGACAAUGGGUCUACUACUGAAGCAAUUGUGCAGGGUUUGUAAAAAUAACUGACUGGCUUAGCUGAGAGCCAAAACUAACAGAUGUCCACUGCAAAACAAACUGGGCCUAGCCUGCCUCCCUAUAAAUAACGUGAUUUGUGAGCACAUCGGUGGUUUUUCAGUUCAAGAGCCCCACAGUGCUUUUUUCACAUACUCCCUAGUUUAAAAGCUUUCCAGUAGAAUCCACCGAGGGAGACACAGUAUUGUCUUCAAUAAUGUUACAACUGAGGUCUCUCAAAAGCCCUGACCCUUUAGGUCCCUGUCCUCUCUAAUGUGUGAAGACCCUGCUGGCUCCUGAGAACAUCCAGGACUGGCCAGUCACCUUGUACACACCUCCCUUCUGCCUGAGCACUGCGGUCAUCUCUUUCCAUCUCUGUUCAAGGAGCAGAGCGCGGGUUCCCUUUUUCACCGUGAGCCUGGAAUCCUGCUUGGGUAUUGGCAUCACUGAAAGGCUUACAUCGCAAGGUUGGGGGUCCCACAGCCGAGUAAUGCUUCUCCUCCAGUCUCUUCUAGUCCUUGGCUGAAGAAUUCUCUUCAAGUAUCAGAAGUUAAGGACAAGACUGGCAAGAAAUCCCUCUCCUGCUUAAACUUCUCAGACAUUUUGACUCAUCUUCCCAUUCCUCAAGAGCAUACACCUUUUUUUUUUUUUCAAAAGUGAAAACCAAAAUGAAAAUCAAGAUUAGUCCCAUACUCCAUCACACUCCUAAAGGAAAUAGCCAUAUGAAACCAAUGGUCGAAAACAUCUCACAUCACUUUCCUGUCUCAUUAAAUUCUGACAUUGUGUCUGGAGACACUGAGCACUAUGCAGGAGACUUUUAUUUUUCACAGUUGACUACAAUGUUGCCACCAUACAGUCAAAGAAAUGUACUCUCAGGGAGAUAGCAAAGUGGUCCACUGCCAUGGGUUAGGCCCAGGAUUACUAGCUCUUGAAUCUGUUUGAUUGUUUGCUUGCUUGAAUGCUCUCAGUUUCAAUGUGAAAGAAAUCAGAUGCCCUUCUGAGCACCCACAUCAGGUGAUCGACAGCUGAUUUAGCCAGUGGGGGACACAAAUGGGACGAUUUAAGGCAGGACUGAAGAAAAACCCAGAGUACCUCUCCUUCCAUUUAUUUUUAAAAUCAUAAGUAACCGUGUGAUUUAUUCUUGGGAAAAAUAAACUAAGUAUUGUACAGUAGACGGAGAAAUGAACAGGAAAUCUUAGCCCGGUUUCAUGUCAGCUACCAUAGUUGGCAACAUGUAUUCCAUACUGUGAAUAAUUAACAGCUGUGAUUUUCAAACCCAUGCCACCUGCCAGUGCUGUAAAUCCAUAAAUGUCUAAACAAAUCUCUAUAAA